GGCAGGUUCUCGCGUGGAAAUUGGCCACCGGAGCCGCCAGGUACCUCCUCCCGGCCGCGGGACCGCCGCGCCCGGAGCCUCCGCUCCCGCUGACAGGAUGCGUGCGGCGGGACACCCGGCCUCGGCCAGCGGCAACUAGGAGGGGACCGGCUGUUCUGCGGGACGGCUCGCCGGGACUGCCCCAGCCUGGAGGGCAGGCACACAGGAAUUCAAGAUCACACAACCAGCAGCUUCAGUGGAGAAAAACUAUUUUGCUGGCAACUCUUUUUAAAGCACCAUCAUUUCAAAUCAGUGCGCUCUUAAACUAUUGACAGGAGCUUUGACAACAAGACAGGAUGCCUC